GACGAACGCUGGCGGCGUGCUUAACACAUGCAAGUCGAACGGCAAGGCACUGCUUUUGUGGGGUGCUCGAGUGGCGAACGGGUGAGUAACACGUGAGUAACCUGCCCUUGACUUUGGGAUAACUUCAGGAAACUGGGGCUAAUACCAGAUAGCAGACCCUGCUGCGUGGUGGGGGUUGGAACGUUUAGGCGGGUGGGGAUGGACUCGCGGCUUAUCGGCUUGUUGGUGGGGUAGUGGCUGGCCAAGCCUUUGACCGGUAGCCGGCCUGAGAGGGUGACCGGCCACAUGGGGCCUGAGGGACGGCGCAGAGUGCAAUGGGAGGCAGCAGGGGGGAAUAUGGCACAAUGGGCGGAAGCCUGAGGCAGAGGCGUCGGGUGUGGGAUGACGGCUUGCGGGGUGAAAACCGCUUUCGGCUGUUACGAAGCGGGAGUGACGGUAAUGGGUAAAGAAGCACCGGCUAACUACGUG
rnacentral:rRNA from 1 species